AUUGAACGCUGGCGGCAUGCCUUACACAUGCAAGUCGAACGGCAGCACGGGUGCUUGCACCUGGUGGCGAGUGGCGAACGGGUGAGUAAUACAUCGGAACAUGUCCUGUAGUGGGGGAUAGCCCGGCGAAAGCCGGAUUAAUACCGCAUACGAUCUACGGAUGACAACGGGGGACCUUCGGGCCUCGCGCUAUAGGGUUGGCCGAUGGCUGAUUAGCUAGUUGGUGGGGUAAAGGCCUACCAAGGCGACGAUCAGUAGCUGGUCUGAGAGGACGACCAGCCACACUGGGACUGAGACACGGCCCAGACUCCUACGGGAGGCAGCAGUGGGGAAUUUUGGACAAUGGGCGAAAGCCUGAUCCAGCAAUGCCGCGUGUGUGAAGAAGGCCUUCGGGUUGUAAAGCACUUUUGUCCGGAAAGAAAUCCUUGGCCCUAAUACGGUCGGGGGAUGACGGUACCGGAAGAAUAAGCACCGGCUAACUACGUG
rnacentral:rRNA from 1 species